CCGAUAUAGCUCAGCUGGCAGAGCAACUCAUUCGUAAUGAGUAGGUCGCUGGUUCGAAUCCGGCUAUCGGC
rnacentral:tRNA from 1 species